GAUGAACGCUGGCUACAGGCUUAACACAUGCAAGUCGUGGGGAAACGGCAUUAUGUGCUUGCACAUUCUGGACGUCGACCGGCGCACGGGUGAGUAUCGCGUAUCCAACCUGCCCCUUACUUGGGGAUACCCCGUUGAAAGACGGCCUAAUACCCGAUGUGUUUCAUUGACGGCAUCCGAUAUGAAACAAAGGUUUUUCCGGUAAGGGAUGGGGAUGCGUCUGAUUAGCUUGUUGGCGGGGCAACGGCCCACCAAGGCGACGAUCAGUAGGGGUUCUGAGAGGAAGGUCCCCCACAUUGGAACUGAGACACGGUCCAAACUCCUACGGGAGGCAGCAGUGAGGAAUAUUGGUCAAUGGACGCAAGUCUGAACCAGCCAAGUAGCGUGCAGGAUGACGGCCCUAUGGGUUGUAAACUGCUUUUAUGUGGGAAUAAAUUGGCGCACGUGUGCGCCAUUGCAUGUACCUCAUGAAUAAGGACCGGCUAAUUCCGUGCCAGCAGCCGCGGUAAUACGGAAGGUCCGGGCGUUAUCCGGAUUUAUUGGGUUUAAAGGGAGUGUAGGCGGUCUGUUAAGCGUGUUGUGAAAUUUAGGUGCUCAACAUUUAACUUGCAGCACGAACUGUCAGACUUGAGUACACGCAGCGCAGGCGGAAUUCAUGGUGUAGCGGUGAAAUGCUUAGAUAUCAUGAGGAACUCCGAUCGCGAAGGCAGCCUGCGGGAGUGUUACUGACGCUUAAGCUCGAAGGUGCGGGUAUCGAACAGG
rnacentral:rRNA from 1 species